rnacentral:rRNA from 1 species
CUUUAAGGGUCCUGAAGGAACGUUGAAGACGACAACGUUGAUAGGCCGGGUGUGUAAGCGCAGCGAUGCGUUGAGCUAACCGGUACUAAUGAACCGUGAGGCUUAACCUUACAACGCCGAAGCUGUU